rnacentral:rRNA from 1 species
AUGCAUCUAAGCGUGAAACUCGCUCCAAGAUGAGAUCUCCCUUCCGAGUAAUCGGAACUGAAGGCUCCUCGGAGAUUACGAGGUAGAUAGGCAGGAAGUGGAAGUCCGGCAACGGAUGCAGCUGACCUGUACUAAUCGGCCGGGCGGCUUGAUCAU